CAUCCCUGCCAGUGUUAGGGGAGCACUGAAGGGAAGAGCACCGACAGACAGGCAGCGGACCGACGGACAGCGGACCCACAGCUGCAGGUGCACCCCAGCUGCUGUUACUGCUGAACUGGGUUAGGCACACCCAAAGUCAGGCAAGCCCUGACUCAUGCGCAGCACAGACUCCCUCGGCCUCUAAGGCGCCCGUCUGGAAACAGCUCUCACCGUCGCUAAUCUGCCUCAUGUCCUGGCUGUUCUGGAUACUGUGGAUCAUCUCCAGAAGGAUUUCUUUCUCCUGUUCAACAGCAGUAGCUGCGUCUCUCAAAGCUUCCACCCUGUGGCUUAUUGGCCAUCU